rnacentral:rRNA from 1 species
UUGAUUAUAUAUAAGAAGUAACUUCCUGCCCAGUGAAAUUUUCAACGGCCGCGGAUUUCCGUGCUAAGGUAGCAUAAUCACUUGUCCUUUAAUUAAGGACUAGAAUGAAUGGAUACACAAAUAAUAACUUUCUUUGUUUUAAUACUAAAAACUAAUAUAUGAAUGAAAAAUUUCAUAUCUUAUAAAAAGACCAAAAGACCCUAUCGAGCUUAAAUAAAUUUAUUUCAAAAUAUAAUUAUUUUUAAUUGGGGCGAUUAAAGAUACAUUUCAUCUUUCAAUAAUAUGAAACAUAAAUUUACCUUAAAAAUAUAAAAUAAAGUUACCGUAGGGAUAACAGGCUACUCAAUUUCAAAAGUUCAUAUUAACAAAUUGUCUUAGCACCUCGAUGUUGGCUUAAGGAUACUUUAAAAUGCAACAGUUUUAAUAAGUAGGCUUGUUCCGCCUUUUAUACCUUACGUGA